GUUCUCCGGACCAGUUCACCCUGGAGGGAUAGGGAUGAGUAGUCCCACAGAUGCGAUCCUCAUGCUGCCUGCUCCAUGGAGCUUUUGUGACACCCCAGAGGAGGUCUGUUCUGGGUGUGAUCAGCUUCUUUCUGUGCCAAGUCAUGGAGAAGGCCACUCUGUGCUCCCUGAAGAUGCCUUUCCCUCCAGCAUCUCCCAGUGCCCAGUGGUCUUUGGAGACCAUUUCAGCAGCUACUUCAAGUGUAUUUAUGGUUUAAACACAGUGUUCUCCAAAGGCAUGUGGACUGAGGGGCCUUGGAUCACGGGGCAUUGACCACAUCCAUGGGCCCGUCUGCCAUGCCCUCCUGUCUUGAAGCCAGCAGACCAUGGACUGAGCCCCUGGAAAUCAUGAACCAAAGAAACCUCUUCUCCUUUCAGUUGUGGGUGUUGAGUAU
rnacentral:lncRNA from 1 species